rnacentral:rRNA from 1 species
CCUACGGGUGGCAGCAGUGGGGAAUAUUGGACAAUGGGGGGAACCCUGAUCCAGCCAUGCCGCGUGUGUGAAGAAGGCCCUCGGGUUGUAAAGCACUUUCAGUGAGGAAGAACGCCUGGUGGUUAAUACCCAUCAGGAAAGACGUCACUCACAGAAGAAGCACCGGCUAACUCCGUGCCAGCAGCCGCGGUAAUACGGAGGGUGCGAGCGUUAAUCGGAAUUACUGGGCGUAAAGCGCGCGUAGGUGGCUUGAUAAGCCGGUUGUGAAAGCCCCGGGCUCAACCUGGGAACGGCAUCCGGAACUGUCAAGCUAGAGUGCAGGAGAGGAAGGUAGAAUUCCCGGUGUAGCGGUGAAAUGCGUAGAGAUCGGGAGGAAUACCAGUGGCGAAGGCGGCCUUCUGGACUGACACUGACACUGAGGUGCGAAAGCGUGGGUAGCAAACAGGAUUAGAUACCCCAGUAGUC